UACGGAGGGUGCGAGCGUUGUCCGGAAUCACUGGGCGUAAAGGGCGCGUAGGUGGUCCUUUAAGCGUGUGGUGAAAGCUCGGGGCUCAACCUCGAGUCGGCCAUGCGAACUGGGGGACUGGAGCACUGUAGAGGCAGGUGGAAUUCCGGGUGUAGCGGUGGAAUGCGUAGAUAUCAGGAGGAACACCGGUGGCAAAGGCGGCUUCCUGGACGGAUUAUUGACGCUGAGGCACGAAAGCGUGGGGAGCAAACAGG
rnacentral:rRNA from 1 species